AGUGGUAGUCAAGUCCAUCAGCGAAAGGCUCAUAUAAUCUCCCUGCUUUUUCUCCUGCUCCACCAUCAAGUAGAGUGGAAGGACCCUCCAGGCCAGUUAGCUAUUCUUGCAGCUCCUGCAGCAAACCAGAGUCCAGGAGGACAACAAGGAGGCUUAACAGCAUGACUGAGCUCUUUUUCAGAGUCAACAGAGUGUUAAAAUAGUCUUCCACAGAGUGUUUCCUACCUGAUGCUUCAAUCAUAAAGCUAAGAAGGAUAGCUGAUGCGCCAGAUGAUAGACUCCAGAUUCAAAAGGACCUUGACCAGCCUGGUCCAAGUUCCCAAAUUGUGCCCAAUCACCCACAGUGACAUAUUUUAAAUUUUUAAGGGAAGCACAAUGAUAUUCAACAUCUGUCAGACACUAUACAAACUACUAGCUUGUGAUAUAUCACCAUUUCAACAUUAAACCAAGC
rnacentral:lncRNA from 1 species